rnacentral:rRNA from 1 species
UACGGAGGGAGCUGAGCGUUGUUUCGGAAUUACUGGGCGUAAAGCGCGCGUAGGCGGCCUUGCAAGUUAGAGGUGAAAGCCCGGAGCUCAACUCCGGAACUGCCUUUAAAACUGCAUAGCUUGAAUCCGGGAGAGGUGAGUGGAAUUCCGAAGUGUAGAGGUGAAAUUCGUAGAUAUUCGGAAGAACACCAGUGGCGAAGGCGGCUCACUGGACCGGUAUUGACGCUGAGGUGCGAAAGCGUGGGGAGCAAACAGG